rnacentral:rRNA from 1 species
GACGAACGCUGGCGGCGUGCUUAACACAUGCAAGUCGAGCGGUAAGGCCCUUUCGGGGGUACACGAGCGGCGAACGGGUGAGUAACACGUGGGUGACCUGCCCUCAGCUCUGGGAUAAGCCUGGGAAACCGGGUCUAAUACCGGAUAUGACUCCAUGACGCAUGUUGUGGGGUGGAAAGCCUUGUGCGGCUGAGGAUGGGCCCGCGGCCUAUCAGCUUGUUGGUGGGGNGAUGGCCUACCAAGGCGACGACGGGUAGGCCGGCCUGAGAGGGCGACCGGCCACACUGGGACUGAGACACGGCCCAGACUCCUACGGGAGGCGAGCAGUGGGGAAUCUUGCGCAAUGGGCGAAAGCCUGACGCAGCGACGCCGCGUGAGGGAUGACGGCCU